AAGAAAGAGACAUCACAACUUUUUUUCAUUUCCCGAAGUCUCAGAUCAGCACCACAAACCCCUCACCUCUUCACUGCAAAGGGACAUCAUACUGUGUUUGUCUUCAAGGUGUUCCGGGGCAUUCACUGAGGUCCCUGCUGCCUCCUCACCCUGGCUCUUUUUGGCAUCCUGUCAGACAAUGAGGCUAGUAGACUUGAGGAGGGGGUUGUGAGCCACUUGAGACUCUGUACAGGGAACCCUGACAGCACCUGGUCCAGCUCAUCCUAAAAGAGUCACAAGAAAAGAGGCAGUAGUUCAAUAUGCGGCAAUUCAGAGCUGGUUGGAGAAGUACAGGCCUGAUCAGCUUUCAGGAAGUGACCAUGCAGAGAACCCCCAAGAGCAGGGAGGUCUUAGAUGGAAGAACUCUUUUAAGUCUGAUGGAGGGCGUCCCAGGACAGAACAGUGCUGAAUUGUUGAAGUCACUUCCAGUCAAUUGAUCAGUGGAAAGCGUAUUCUUGGAGAUAACGAAUGCCUCUACUCUUCUCCUUCUUGCUCCAGCAGCCUUAUCCCAAUAUGCCUAAUCAAAAAAAGUCUACAUAAUUCAUCUGAAGGAUCCAGUACUUUGAACGUGUGCUUUCAAGUUUUAGUUGUUACUUUGCAAUGGUUAUAAGUUGUUUUUUAAUUUCUGCAGGAAGAGUUUUUAAAAAUGUCAGGUGAAUUUCUCUUUAGUGAGCAAUG